rnacentral:lncRNA from 1 species
AAGUUCUUCCUUGAUUUAAGGAUUAGGGACCUUGAGUUCCUUCUCCAGGAGCAGGAAUCUGCUCAGGGUUCCUGUCUAUUCCUGCAAGAGAUUUCCUCUAAAGCAGAUUGAACGUUCUAUUAAUUUGGGGGAAAAUAAGUGUUAAUCCUGGCCAAAUUGUUACUAUUAUUUUCUUGGCUCCCCCGUGGUGUGUGGCGUUCCCAGGUCAAGGAUCGGAUCCAUGCCACAGCUGCAACCUAAACUGCAGCAAUCCUGGAUCCUUAACCCACUGUGCUGAGGAUUGAACCUGAGUCCCAGUGCUCCCAAGAUGCCGCCAAUCCUGUUGUGCCGCAGAGGGAAUUCCAAACCCCUUCCUUUUUCAUCCCACUUUGAUGGUGCAAUAAUUCAGCUAUUAAAAAAAAUUUUCAGUCAGCACAUCCUAAAGUGUUCAAAACUGUCCCGCUCAUUUAAAAAUAAGUUUUUAUGUAAGACACUGACAUUCUUUAAAAUGUUUUAAAAUUAUUUUCAAGACUACAUUAUGGCAAUAUUUAAAUAAACAAACCCUUCAUACUUGCAGUUCUCUAAUGUAAUAUAUAUUUUUAAUCAUGUUAGUUUUAUGGUCUCUUCCCAUUAUGGUCUGUUUUAUGAUCUAAUUCUACUUAGAGGUAACAAAUAUGUUUUUGUUUCUACUCACCGUUUUCUAUCUAUUGUUAUAUGAGGCAAUAUAGUCUGAAUCAUUGUAUUUUUAAUAGCUUAAUAGUAAUCCAUUAAGUUGUUAAACUGUUGCUUAUUCAACCAUUGUCCUAUUUUUUGGACAUUUAGUUUUAUUUCUCAUUUCUUUGCUAUUUUGGAAAAUACUGCACCCGGCAGCUUUCUACUUAAUUUUCUGAACCUAAGAGUGGGAUCACUAACUUAAGAGUAAUAUUAUUUUGUUUCCCAGUAGAUUAAAAAAGGUAUUAAGAGGAGUUCCCACUGUGGCGCAGUAGGAUUGGCAGUAUCUCUGCAGUGCCAAGGUCACAGAUUCAAUCCCUGGCUAGGCAUGGUGGGUUAAAGGAUCUGGUGUUGCCACAGCUGUAGCGUAGGUUGCUGCUGUGGCUUGGCUCUGAUCCCUGUCCUGGGAACGCCAUAUGCCGCAGGGUGGACAAAAAGGGAAAAAAAAAAAGGUUAUUAAGAGGGAGUUCCCUGGUGGCCUAGUGGUUAAGGACUCAGUGUUGUCGCUGCUGUGAUUUGGGUUCAAUUCCUGGUCUGGGAAUUUCUG